rnacentral:rRNA from 1 species
CCUACGGGUGGCUGCAGUGGGGAAUCUUGCGCAAUGGGCGAAAGCCUGACGCAGCAACGCCGCGUGUGUGAAGAAGGCUCUCGGGUCGUAAAGCACUGUCGGGAGGGAAGAGUGCCCGGGCUUGUCCCGGGAGAGACGGUACCUCCCAAGGAAGCACCGGCUAACUACGUGCCAGCAGCCGCGGUAAUACGUAGGGGACGAGCGUUGUCCGGAAUUACUGGGCGUAAAGGGCGCGCAGGCGGAUAUUUAAGUCAGCUGUAAAAGGCAUGAGCUCAACUCAUGUAUGCGGUUGAAACUGGGUAUCUAGAGUGCUGGAGAGGUAGGCGGAAUUCCCGGUGUAGCGGUGAAAUGCGUAGAUAUCGGGAAGAACACCAGUGGCGAAGGCGGCUUACUGGCCAGCAACUGACGCUGAGGCGCGAAAGCCAGGGGAGCGAACGGGAUUAGAUACCCCAGUAGUC